GACGAACGCUGGCGGCGUGCUUAAUACAUGCAAGUCGAGCGAAGCGGCGGAUGGGUGAGUCUCGCGUGGGUAACCUGCUCUUAUGUCUGGGAUACCAUUUGGAAACAGAUACUAAUACCGGAUACUACAGGAUGGACUUGUGAUGCAUUAGCUAGUUGGUAAGGUAACGGCUUACUAAGGCGAUGAUGAAUAGCCGAGCUGAGAGACUGAUCGGCCACAGUGGGACUGAGACACGGCCCAGACGCCUACGGGAGGCAGCAGUAGGGAAUCUUCCACAAUGGACGAAAGUCUGAUGGAGCAACGCCGCGUGAGUGAAGAAGGUUUUCGGAUCGUAAAGCUCUGUUGUUGGGGAAGCGGUAAUCAACCAGAAAGUCACGGCUAACUACGUGCCAGCAGCCGCGGUAAUAC
rnacentral:rRNA from 1 species